rnacentral:rRNA from 1 species
GACGAACGCUGGCGGCGUGCUUAACACAUGCAAGUCGAACGGAAAGGCCCUGCUUUUGUGGGGUGCUCGAGUGGCGAACGGGUGAGUAACACGUGAGUAACCUGCCCUUGACUUUGGGAUAACUUCAGGAAACUGGGGCUAAUACCGGAUAGGAGCUCCUGCUGCAUGGUGGGGGUUGGAAAGUUUCGGCGGUUGGGGAUGGACUCGCGGUUUAUCAGCUUGUUGGUGGGGUAGUGGCUUACCAAGGCUUUGACGGGUAGCCGGCCUGAGAGGGUGACCGGCCACAUUGGGACUGAGAUACGGCCCAGACUCCUACGGGAGGCAGCAGUGGGGAAUAUUGCACAAUGGGCGGAAGCCUGAUGCAGCAACGCCGCGUGCGGGAUGACGGCCUUCGGGAUGUAAACCGCUUUCGCCUGUGACGAAGCGUGAGUGACGGUAAUGGGUAAAGAAGCACCGGCUAACUACGUG